UACGUAGGGGGCAAGCGUUGUCCGGAUUCAUUGGGCGUAAAGAGCUCGUAGGCGGUUCGGCAAGUCGGGUGUGAAAACUCUAGGCUCAACCUAGAGACGCCACCCGAUACUGCUGUGACUUGAGUCCGGUAGGGGACCACGGAAUUCCUGGUGUAGCGGUGAAAUGCGCAGAUAUCAGGAGGAACACCGGUGGCGAAGGCGGGUCUCUGGGCCGAUAUUGACGCUGAGGAGCGAAAGCGUGGGGAGCGAACAGG
rnacentral:rRNA from 1 species